rnacentral:rRNA from 1 species
UACGUAGGUGGCGAGCGUUGUCCGGAAUUACUGGGCGUAAAGGGUGCGUAGGCGGUUUAUUAAGUCAGAUGUGAAAUUCCGGGGCUCAACUUCGGAAUUGCAUUUGAAACUGGUAGGCUAGAGUGCAGGAGAGGAAAGCGGAAUUCCUAGUGUAGCGGUGAAAUGCGUAGAUAUUAGGAAGAACACCAGUGGCGAAGGCGACUUACUGGACUGUAACUGACACUGAGGCAUGAAAGCGUGGGGAGCAAAC